GGGGGAGUGACGGAAUAGGCAGACGUAGCGGACUUAAAAUCCGCUGGGUAAUCCCCGUGCCGGUUCGACCCCGGUCUCCCCCACCA
rnacentral:tRNA from 1 species